rnacentral:misc_RNA from 1 species
AAAAACUGUCCAUCGAAGCGUGAAAGAAAAUAAAAAUAAGAAAACAGCAAAAGUGUAAACUGAGCGGCAGAAGAUAAGCAACAGCCAUACGAACGACAAUCCAAAACCAAAACCAAAGCCAAGUCCAAAUCGAAAGAGGGGUAACCAGAGGCAACCCGAAAACCCAAUCAACCAAAUAGGCUGCGGGCCAAAAGUGUGAUCCAAAGAAGGAACCAAACGCUUUAUGUUUUCCAGCAACUAAAACCGAAGCCACGCCACAUCCGGAUCAGCCCAAAGCGACAGCACUCUAGAUACUUGUAUCGCUAGAAAGUGUAGAACUUUCGGAAGCCAAAAACCCAUAUAAACCACAGGAUAUCGCCAAAGAGGCAAAAGGGUUUAAAAAUCGCGGCCACCAAAUGCAAGAUGGUUCCGGACCAACCAGUAAAAAUGCAGUCUGGGCCGCCGUUACCUUCGCAAAAAAGUACUAUAGCCGGACAGACUGCGGACAGUUUUGCAACUGUUCCGUCCACGCACUCGUACGGCGGCAUCCCGACUUCGUCCGGCACCAGCUACGUUUCUAUUGGAAUCUUGCCAGGGUUGGGCAGUAUACCGACCGCCACGAGCGGGACGCUGCCAUUGCUUCUGCCUACAACGAGUCCUUCGACCACAACCUUCAAAACGACCCCCUUGCUGCCGAUGCCGUCGUUGGAAGACAUCGAGGUGGCCAACCAGAUUCAGACACAGAUUCAGACACAGAGCCAGCACCAAGGCCAAGCACUAGUGCAGCAGCAGCAGCAGCAGCAUCAACAGCAGCAGCAGCAGCACCAGCAGCAGCAUCAGCAGCAGCAGCAGCCGCCCGCGGGAAUCCUUAAAUACCCAAACCCCCUUCCACCCCCCAGCGUCAACUAUAUCGGAGAGCUAAUGCCACUCCCACUCCCAAUCCCACCCACCAGCACCCCCACCCCCACCACAACGAUGAGCAGCGGCAACUGUGGGACCCUCAAGAGUACCGCCAAGCUGCUGCCCCUCCAGUUGAUGGCCUCCGCCGGACCACCGCCCAACCAUCCACCAUCGAUGUCGCUGCCACCAGCCUCCGCAGCAGCCUCGAUCCAGGCGCAGGCCCAGGCCCAAGCCCAAGCCCAGGCGCAGGCGCAACAACAGCAGCAGCAGCGUCAUCGGAGGCGCCACGGCUGGUGCGGCUGCUUUGGAUCGGGUGGCCGCAACACCAGACCAGUCGAGAAGACAACACCGCCUCCGCCGGGCUAUACCACCAAGUCGAAGAAGCGCAAGCCCAAGUCGCAGACAGUGUGGUCGGCGCUGCUCACCAAUCUGGGCAUCUGCAUGCUCCUUCUGGCCUACACAUUGUUGGGCUCCUUCAUAUUUCUAACCAUCGAGAACGAGGACUCGGCGCUGCUGCAUCAGCAGCACACACUGGCAAGCACCAAGCGUAAUCUGGCGGGGAUUGGGACUGGCAGUGCUAUAGGGAAUGGCAUUUAUCAGCAGCAGCAGCAGUCGCCACACCAGCAAAGGUCGCCGCAGAUGCACCACCAGCAGCAGCAGCAGCAGAAACAGAAGUUGCAGAAACAGCAGCAGCAGCAGCAGGCAGGACAACGACAUCAUCGACCAGGACAACACACUGUGGACAAUGACACGGUGGCGGCAGCAGUGGCUGCCGCCCAGGGAUUGCUGCCAGGACAUGGCGGUGGUACCUCCUCCUAUGGCAUGGCCCCACAGGGAGCGUCAUCGAAUGACUUUGUUUAUGGCGUGGAUGUGGCAGACGAGGCAGAAAUGCAGGAGAAUGCUGGAGGAAUGCCGCAGUUUGGACUCGGACUCGGACUGGGAAUCUCGCCGGACACUUACGAUGUGAGGCAGCGGACCAUUGAGAAUAUCUGGGACAUAACCGUAUCGCUCAAUAUACUCUACAAGGAGAACUGGACAAAAUUGGCAGCACUGGAAAUAGCCAAGUUUCAGGACCAAUUAAUCAAGAGACUGAACGAGGAUGUUAUGCUGCAAUUAUCACACGAGGAUAUGGCCAACGCAGGCGUCGGGGCCGGUGGCGCCUCCGGCAGCGGCAACAAUCCAGCCACGGAAGCCGUUCUACUUCACACCCACUUUUAUCAUCAUCGUGCCGCAGGCGGAGGAGUGGUUCCCGGCGGCACUGGUGGCCCUCCGCAUGAGUGGAAUUUUGCCAAAGCGUUUUUGUAUUCGCUGACCGUUUUGACCACAAUUGGCUAUGGCAACAUUGCGCCACGCACCACUCUGGGCAGGAUCGUGACUUUGGUUUACGCACUUUUCGGCAUUCCCUUGACCCUGGUAUAUUUGAGCAGCACCGGCAGCAUCCUGGCCAAGAUCGCCAGGGAGGUGUUCUCGAAGGCUCUGUGCUGCUGCCUGUGCUCGAACUGCGGCUACUGUUGCUACGACGAGAAGCGGAUGGCCGAGAAGGAGCGGCGCAUGCGGCGGAAGCGGCAGCAGGAGGAGCUACGCAAGCAGCAGGCGGCAAUGCAGGAACCGUACUACGUGAGGGAUGUCUACCACACCACGCCGGAGAAGCAGGCGGAGGCAGAGGCCGCUGGGGGCGGUGCCCCGCCGGCGACGGUGGCCUCGGUGUCCAACUCCUCGGGCGGACUGUCGGGCAUUAGUGUUGGCGGUGUCGGUGGCGGCGUUGCUGGCGGUCCCCCCACCUCCCUGCCGAACGACAUUGACUCGCUGAGCGCCAGCGAGUCGCGCGGCUCCAUGCACGGCCUGAGCAUCAUGGCCCCCAUCCUCCUCUGCUUCUCGAUGAUGAUCAUCUAUAUUGUGUUUGGUGCCGCGGUGCUGUACCGUCUGGAGAAUUGGCCCAUCGUCGAUGGCAUCUACUUCUGUUUCAUGAGCCUCUCUACCAUCGGAUUCGGAGACAUGCUGCCGGGACUGCGGCGGGAGUCGAACACCACCACCUGGUUCUGUUCGGUGUACAUCAUGUCCGGCAUGACCCUCACGGCCAUGUGCUUCAACGUCAUCCACGAGGAGAUUGUCCAUCGCAUUCGCAUUGUUGUCGACUUCAAGAAAACCGAUUUGGCUAACUCUAGCACCGGCUUGCCCCCAGGCGGACCUGUAAUCGUCGCUGGCGCUGGCUCCGGUGGCUCCAUGAUGGACCUGGGACCCGAUGACGCUGGCCAGUACUAUGUCCCGGCCUCCUCCUGACAUUACGAGAGACGGGCGCAUCUCUAUCAGCGCAAUCCCACCGAAGAGACCCUGGUAACAGACACACCCACAUCGCUAGUGCUGAAGGACUAUGUUAAUCACGAGCUGGUACCCAUCCUGACCAUGGACCCGAACGGGGCCCCACGAUUGGCC